rnacentral:rRNA from 1 species
UACGUAGGUGGCAAGCGUUAUCCGGAAUUAUUGGGCGUAAAGCACGCGCAGGCGGUUUCUUAAGUCUGAUGUGAAAGCCCACGGCUCAACCGUGGAGGGUCAUUGGAAACUGGGGAACUUGAGUGCAGAAGAGAAAAGCGGAAUUCCACGUGUAGCGGUGAAAUGCGUAGAGAUGUGGAGGAACACCAGUGGCGAAGGCGGCUUUUUGGUCUGUAACUGACGCUGAGGCGCGAAAGCGUGGGGAGCAAACAGG